ACGGAGGGGGCUAGCGUUGUUCGGAAUUACUGGGCGUAAAGCGCACGUGGGCGGCUUUUUAAGUCAGGGGUGAAAUCCCGGGGCUCAACCCCGGAACUGCCCUUGAAACCGGAGAGCUAGAAUCUUGGAGAGGCGAGUGGAAUUCCGAGUGUAGAGGUGAAAUUCGUAGAUAUUCGGAAGAACACCAGUGGCGAAGGCGGCUCACUGGACUGGUAUUGACGCUGAGGUGCGAAAGCGUGGGGAGCAAACAGGA
rnacentral:rRNA from 1 species